AUGCAGAACUUGUGGCCAUGCAGGACAAGCUCUCCCAAAAUCUCUCUUAUGGAAGCACCACCAGGAGCUGGGAGACCGACCUGCUGCCAGGGAGACCAGCGGGGAGUCUCCUCCAGCUGUACUCUCCACCCAAGUUUAGGGACAUGGCAGCCAAGGCUGAAACUAGGGGUGAGCUCCGAGGGUGACACUGUUUUCAGAGGUCAGGGUCAGCAAGGAAAGGCUGGGGCGUCUGUAGGACCUGGGGACCAACCGGUAUGCUUUGUACUUCGUCUUCCAGGCCCGGCACUCGGCUGCAGGACAGGAUUCCCAGAAACACUCGACUCUGAGUUGAACAGAGACACUGGUACAGAAAACAGCGCAAGAUCAGUCAAAUGCAGAUCGGGGCUCUCGUGGUUUGUCAGCCCUCCACGGCAAGGGUCAGCCCCGGGCCCCCUCCUCACCGCACCCUGCUGCAGAGGCGGCUUUGGGGCUCGCCUGGAGACGCCCCACAUCUUCACACGAAGGAAACCAGGGCCCGAGAGCUGGCCGCAAGGCCACACUGGCUCAGGCGCUGGCCCCACAGGCCCUGCGAGGGGCUGUUCCACAGGGCAAGUUCCCGCGGGUCUCUCGGGUCCUGUGCCUGGGCCCAAGUGCUUUUGGGCCCCUGCACCUACUUGGGAGACCCGGAAGAAGCUCCUGGCUUCGGAUCAGUGAACCAGCGGAUGGAAGACCUCUCUCUCUCGCUCUCUGUAACUCUGCCUUUCAAAUAAAUAAAUCUUUUAAGAAAUAAAAACUAAAAAA
rnacentral:lncRNA from 1 species